rnacentral:rRNA from 1 species
AUUGAACGCUGGCGGCAGGCUUAACACAUGCAAGUCGAGCGGAGAGAGGUAGCUUGCUACUGAUCUUAGCGGCGGACGGGUGAGUAAUGCUUAGGAAUCUGCCUAUUAGUGGGGGACAACAUUUCGAAAGGAAUGCUAAUACCGCAUACGUCCUACGGGAGAAAGCAGGGGAUCUUCGGACCUUGCGCUAAUAGAUGAGCCUAAGUCGGAUUAGCUAGUUGGUGGGGUAAAGGCCUACCAAGGCGACGAUCUGUAGCGGGUCUGAGAGGAUGAUCCGCCACACUGGGACUGAGACACGGCCCAGACUCCUACGGGAGGCAGCAGUGGGGAAUAUUGGACAAUGGGCGCAAGCCUGAUCCAGCCAUGCCGCGUGUGUGAAGAAGGCCUUAUGGUUGUAAAGCACUUUAGGCGAGGAGGAGGCUACUUUAGUUAAUACCUAAAGAUAGUGGACGUUACUCGCAGAAUAAGCACCGGCUAACUCUGUGCCAGCAGCCGCGGUAACAC